GAGGUGGCGCUUUCCAGAGAGCAUCAGCUGUGCUAGUAUGGGGAGGAAUCGGUGGUGGGCAGGGCCAUAGAAUUCCUAAGAAUGUAUAUGCCCUUUGUCUUCAGCUACCAGGGCGGGUAGGGAAUGAGCUUCAGGUGGUGGCAGGAUGACCUGAAAAGUUUCCACUGCACCUGCUGGUGGACUCUGGAAUUGCAGAAAGAGUGGCUAAGGUGCUGCUACCUCUCCUGGAAGACAUGCAAAUUCUAAUUCACUUCAAUAAGCACAAUUACUUAUUUCAGUCUUCUGAUGAAAGUCUUGGAGUCAGAAGUAGAGGACCACCAUGCCUCAUGGGAGUCAGCCUUGACCUGGUUGGUUACACAUCCAAGGAGAUCUCAUGUCUUGGCUGGGUAGAAGAAGUCGGUCGGUGAUGGGUGGAUCAAGGCUUUGGCUCAGGCUAAAGUACUGCCAGUGAGUUGCUGGUGAAAGCCUGCAAGGCUGCUUAGCAACAGGUGCCCAAGGCCAGAACAGGGCAUCUAACUUGGUCAAGGAGGCAAAAACAAAGGAUCUGCAUCCUCAAAUGCAUUUCUUUCUUCUAACAGUGUACGGUUAUGACUUAGUAUGGUCUGAGAAACAGCACACCGCAAUUGGAAGUUACUGGAGAAAUUGUGUCCACUAGGUCUUUCAGCCUUUAAUCUGCACCUUCCGUCUCUGUCUCAAAGAUAACAAGCUGUCAACUUUUCUGCAUCAUCCAGCCAUGGGGGUUUAAAAAUUUUGUUGUUGAUGGUCUAAGCAGUCCUUUUGCAGAGAUUUAUUAGCCAGCCUGGCUAACUCUUUAGCCAGAAACCCCUUAGAAGACUUCUUCUGAAAGACCCACCUUCCCCAGCCUCCUUGAUCUACAGGUACUUGACCCUGGCAGGGUCCUCAAAGCCGGAAACACAAUAGUGGAUGCUUUCCUAGUGCAUCUCUCAAGCUCUCAUUUGUAUCCUUCUGGGGGCCCCCUUAAAGGCACACAAACAUCUGCAUUCUCCACACUAUGGAGGCAACACAAUGCUUUAAAGCCUCUCAGAAAACCUACAGGACAGUUAAUAUGAUUUAAGCCUAUAUUUAAAUUUUAUGAGACUCAUUUUCAAGGCUAAUAACCCAGUUUACUGUGCACAAUAUCAAAUGCAAAUUUUAUUACUGACGUGGUAAAAACCAAGACGAUCAUCAUUAGCAUAUCUCCCUGCAUCACCCUUUUUAGCCAAAAGGUGCACCAGGAGUAACAGUGGGGAUUUUUAUAUGUGUUGUAAAUUAUAGUUACUAUCUCAUUAGAUAAACACAUUUAAAAUCAUGUUAUCAUUCACUUAUAUAUCAGAAAGUUGUUUGUUCAAUUGCAGCUAGUCUCAUAUUCUAACAUAUGGUGCAUGAAAUUCUUAGACUAAUAAAAUUUCAAGGUACAGGGAGCUGGUGUCUUGGAUAAAACUGUUUCUGCUCCACGAAUGGCUCGAUAUAAUCUGUAAUUGCUUUGAAACAAUUAUGCAGCAGGCUGUUUUGUACUUAAUAGUAUUUACAUUCUUGGUUUUAUUAGCAACAAAAUGUGAGUGGAACUUGUGAAAGAGAAAUUAAUUUUUCCACUAAAAGAUGUAAACUUUUAAAUAGAGGCUCUAGCAGAUUGGAGAAACUACAAACACGGGGGGUGGUCAGGUCCCAAUUUCUUCAUUUUCUUUUUAUUAUGUCACUUCCUAUUUCUCAUUAACACACCAGACCAUUUAUGCAAUUAUAUAUAUAUAUAAUUGCAUAUAUAUAUAGCAUAUAAUUAUAUAUAUAUAUAUAGCAUAUAAUUAUAUAUAUAUAUAUUUCACAAACUCUAGGCUUCUAGCUUGAACUUAUAUUUUUAAAGAUGUGCUGCCUUCUAAAGCUUGUAGUGUGCUCUUCAUAUUGUCAGAACUGGAUUGGCCCUGGAAGGCUUACUGCAGGAGGAUUUUGUAUACUUUUAUCUAAGAAGAAAAGCACAGGUAAUGUCUAAAUGUGGAUAUUCUUCUAUGUGAACUCAACUCCCAUCUCAAAACAGACAAAAAUCCUCACUAUUUUUUUAACCUAUGGAGCUAUUAUUAUGGACAUUAUGUAAAGAUAAUUUCUUCUUGUUAAAUCAUUGUCAUGAUGUUUUAUGAAUCUUAGAACUAUCCUGGCAAUGCUGGGUGUUAGAAAGCACUAUGAACUUCAGCUCAUUUAUCUGUAAAAUAAGGACAUGCAUACUAACCUCACUGGAUUUUUGUGAGAAUUCAAUUGAUUGCAAUUAAAAGCAAAGAGCUUUCUAAGUGCUAAAGCAGUACACAAAUGGUGGUCAUCACAAAUGAUUCCUGGUAAGUUUUGUUUGAAGUCAUGUCCAGGUUUCAAAGCAAGUGCAGGAUACUUACAGGUGUUUCUAUUUCACCUGGUCUUUCCAGAUAGAUUUUUAUCUUUGUCAUGAUCCACUUCUAGACAUCUACUGAUUUGAAACAAGAUUGCCUUUUGAUUUUCCAUUUGUGUUACGUGUUUGUCAAAUGAUACAUUCUCUAACAUUCAUACUGAAGUAGAAAAAAAAAUUGAUAGCUUUUAUUUUUUUCCUUAAGUAUAUAGUGUAUGUUUGUUAUAGAAAACAAAAAGAAAAAAUUCAAGAAUUUGAUGUAUUUUCUUUCUUAAUUUAUAUAUGUAUAAAUAUAUCUGUUGUACAUGUGUAAAACAUAUGUUCCUUUUUAUAUGAUUAAAAUCACAUUAUACUUAAUUAUAGA
rnacentral:lncRNA from 10 species